rnacentral:rRNA from 1 species
AGUGAACGCUGGCGGUAGGCCUAACACAUGCAAGUCGAACGGCAGCACAGUAAGAGCUUGCUCUUACGGGUGGCGAGUGGCGGACGGGUGAGGAAUACAUCGGAAUCUACUUUUUCGUGGGGGAUAACGUAGGGAAACUUACGCUAAUACCGCAUACGACCUACGGGUGAAAGCAGGGGAUCUUCGGACCUUGCGCGGUUGAAUGAGCCGAUGUCGGAUUAGCUAGUUGGCGGGGUAAAGGCCCACCAAGGCGACGAUCCGUAGCUGGUCUGAGAGGAUGAUCAGCCACACUGGAACUGAGACACGGUCCAGACUCCUACGGGAGGCAGCAGUGGGGAAUAUUGGACAAUGGGCGCAAGCCUGAUCCAGCCAUACCGCGUGGGUGAAGAAGGCCUUCGGGUUGUAAAGCCCUUUUGUUGCGAAAGAAAAGCAGCAGGUUAAUACCCCGCUGUUCUGACGGUACCCAAAGAAUAAGCACCGGCUAACUUCGUG